UACGUAGGGUGCAAGCGUUGUCCGGAAUCAUUGGGCGUAAAGCGCGCGUAGGUGGCUUCGUAAGUCCGUUGUGAAAGUCAAAGGCUCAACCUUUGAAAGCCGAUGGAUACUGCGGAGCUAGAGUACGGAAGAGGCGAGUGGAAUUCCUGGUGUAGCGGUGGAAUGCGCAGAUAUCAGGAGGAGCACCAAUAGCGAAGGCAGCUCGCUGGGACGUUACUGACACUAAGGCGCGAAAGCGUGGGGAGCGAACAGG
rnacentral:rRNA from 1 species